GAUGAACGCUGGCGGCGUGCCUAAUACAUGCAAGUCGAGCGAACGGACGAUAAGCUUGCUUCUCUGAUGUUAGCGGCGGACGGGUGAGUAACACGUGGAUAACCUACCUAUAAGACUGGGAUCACUUCGGGAAACCGGAGCUAAUACCGGAUAAUAUUUUGAACCGCAUGGUUCAAAAGUGAAAGACGGUCUUGCUGUCACUUAUAGAUGGAUCCGCGCUGCAUUAGCUAGUUGGUAAGGUAACGGCUUACCAAGGCAACGAUGCAUAGCCGACCUGAGAGGGUGACCGGCAACACUGGAACUGAGACACGGUCCAGACUCCUACGGGAGGCAGCAGUAGGGAAUCUUCGAAAAAGGGCGAAAGCCUGACGGAGCAACGCCGCGUGAGUGAUGAAGGUCUUCGGAUCGUAAAACUCUGUUAUUAGGGAAGAACAGAUUGGUAAGUAACUGUGCACAUCGUGACGGUACCUAAUCAGAAAGCCACGGCUAACUACGUG
rnacentral:rRNA from 1 species